ACGGACGGUAAUGUUCCGCGGUCGGACAGAAAUGAAAUUCCGGUGAUAUAACCGUUCGAAUUCACGGAUAGUCGGGGUGGCCAGAGGGGGUCCUGGCGGUGGGCGAGCACGGAGGGAUGGGUGGACGGUAAAUCGUCCCGAUAAAUGGGCAACGCCACUUCUUCUGCCGCGUACGUGCACCGUUUCUUUUCUUUUGGCUCCGGCGGAGUCACCGGGCCGCGUCUGCUUCUCGGCGAGCCACGUACCAAGACGAUGGUCGUUUUUGUCGGCUACGUUGACAGCGUUUCCAGUUUCUCCGCGGUGCCAUUCUGCUUCCAGCCGCGCAACCUGCGAUGUAAGAAGAUUGAUUAGCGACGCUGACGAUGAUACGGACGCGGCCUCGGUCUGCCAAGAUCAACCCUCGAGUUUUGAAAUGUCGGAGCCUGGGAUCGAGGACUGCUGCCAGUUCGAAGCCGCAGUAGAAGCUUCAAUUCAGAAUAAGGAAGAGAUAAGUAGUGAUCGGCGUUGCCGCGGCAGGAAUGGGGACCACCGCCAAAAUUCGCAGCGAGAAAUAUUGCGUCGAGUAACUGGGAAAUUAUUAUUAGGUUAUCCUGGAAUAAAUCGCGACCGUCCGAUCUGUUAUACUUAGAGCGUUCGUAUAUAGCAGACAUUUUCAAUUUAUGUUUUUACGCGGUAUACCAUUCUCGAGAGCGUAAAUGUCACUCUACCAUUUACUGUCUCAUUUGGGCUCUAUCGUGAGUUACGUUCUCGUUCGCGGCGAUCAUUUGAUCUGAUAAACGCGCCGGUGGAGAGAGGAAGUAAAUUCGUACAAUAUUUGAUACGCGAGUUUGAAAUAGAACGCGAAGUGCAGUAGAAACUGCAUGCAAUAUUAAUCUGACGAACGUUCUUCGACGUACCGUCGGUUAAAUUGUAAUCUCGAAGGUACGACAAUGAAAUAAAAUAUUGGUUCGAACUGUUCAAUAAUUUGGAAUCCUGAUUUUUAUUUUUUAUGAAAUGAGAGGUCUUGCAACGCGUUGGAUAGAUUGUACAGCAUGCAGCAUAGAUUCAUUUUAAGUAGAAACUAUACCGUUCGUACGACAUCUGCCGAAACCAUGCUGUAUUUCUGGAACGUUCUUUUUGAUUUACUAAAAUGUUCUAGUCGUUUAAAUCAUACGUUGAACAAUAGUAUUUUGUAUUUAAGGAUUUCGAUGAAACCGAUACAAAAUAUUACGGAAAAACUGUUUGACACGCGUUAUUUGUAGUUACCGAUAUCCAAAAAUCGACAGUGAAAGACAUUCGGUCGAAUAACUGUGAAAUUUCUGAAAUUAGAAGAAACAUUGUAAAUGGCAAAAAUUUUCCGUUGUUUUAGUAAAAUAUUGAAUUCUCUAUACAAAU